AUCUCUGCAUCUGCUUCCAUCAGUAACUGGAUGAGGGCUCUAUGAUGACAGUUAAGAAUUGACAUUAAGAUGAAAGAAACCACAUCAGACAAGCAGAAAGAACAGCUGCCGAACACCGAGGGGGCAUUGAUUGACAGGUGCUGUAGCAAGGCUUCUAUUCUGCUGUUUCACCUGUUCCUUUCCACGGGCCUACUACAUCAAUACCACCAUUAUCCCAAUUUUACAGAUAAGAGGACCAAGGCCAGGGUUGCGUCGUGCCAAAGCAGGAGAUUCCAUGACUCCAAAGUCCAUGUUUUUAAACCAAACAUCUAUACUUACAGUAGCAUGAGUGAGUCAGGGACUUGAGGCUUGUUUGAUAAGGAAAGAUACUGGAGGUGGGUAAUGAUUAACACGGAAUAACAGAGCUUGGGCACUCAGCAGGUUGUGAACAGUGAUCCCAAGAAAGGCGGGAGGGAUGUCUGGGGUUGGGGAAACCUGGUGUUUGUGUGAAAUGUCAUCUGACAAGCAGGGUAAAUGGUGGCAGCAUUCAGGCUGCUCCUCUACCACAAUUUCUUUCUCUUUCUUUCUUCUCUACUCCUCUGGUUCCUAUACAAGUUCCAACUAAGAACAUGUCACAUGAAACUUAGAGGGAAAAAGUACUGUGCAGAUAUUUUAGUAUUUGAAGCAGGCAUGAUUUUUCUCUCCACCUCUCACCCCAACCUUGGGUGUCUAGACUCUGUUCAAGUUAGAUUUUUUUUUAAUGCAAACUUCAGUCACAAGAAGAAAAGGACAGUGGUUAGUGUCACAGCAUACACACAUUCUAGCAAGUGUGCCCAACCUGCAGCUCAUGGGUCACAUGCAUCCCAAAAUAGCUGUGAAUGAAGCCUGGUGCAUUUGUAGAUCACAUUAUAAUAUCAGAAGUUUGGGCGUCCCUGUGCCCUGAGUCAAAGGGGUGAGUAUCCUGUAUAGUAGGGCUUUCUCUCUGAAGGAAGAGGCUUGUCAACAGGGUGGUGUUCUAUACAAUGAGGGCUGGGUAUGCUGUAUGAUGAGGGGUGGGUAUGCUGAAUGAUGAGGGGUGGGUAUGCUGUAUGAUGAGGGGUGAGUUGCUGCAUGGUGAGGGGAGGGUGUGUUGUAUGGUGAGGGGUGAGUGUGUUGUAUAGUGAGAGGUAAGUGUGCUGUAUGGUGACGGGUAGGCAUGUUAUAUGAUGAGGAUUUCUCUCUGAAGAGGCUGAGCAAAUCAGAGGAUAAAACCCAACUCCACAGGUGUCUUAUGACUCGGAGCAGAGCACUUCUUGUACCAUCCCGACUCUAAACUUGUGGGACAUCUGUCUUUCCCUAAACCUUCAGAAGGCUUUUUUCUUUCUUUUUUUAAAAGCACUUAUUUAUUCAUAUAUUUUAUGCAUAUGAGUGCUCUGUCUUCAUGCACAGCAGAAGAAGGAAUCUGAUCCCAUUACAGAUGGUUGUGAGCCAACACGUGGUUGCUGGGAAUUGAACUCAGGACCUCUGGAAGAGUAGUAAAGUGCUCUUUACUGCUGAGCCAUCUCUCUAGGCCCCAGAGCACAUUUCCUAAUGUUACUCUAGGCCAGAGGACAUCUCCUAAUGUUACUCUAUGACAAGGAAUUUAUGGACCAAUAUAAAUCAGUUUGGCUCAGUUUGGCCAAGCCAUGCUACUGAGAUAUUUGUAUAAACCUGAUUCUAGAGGGGCAAUGUUUUGGAUGACAGUGACAAUCAAGAGAUUUUCAGCAAUGCACAUUACUUUCCAUUUGAGCUUCAUCUAUUCAGUGGAGGCCUCAGCAGAAAAGAGACUUCUGAUGAGGAAGAAAGUCUGCUAUCAAGAUGUCUAUGGUCCUGCACUACAGGUCUUCCCUGGGUCUUUGGUAUGCCAGACCCAUCCUACAGAUUUUGGACCCGUCUUUCUCCACAAUCACAUGGACCAUUAAAAUGAUGGGCUAUUAAAACAA